rnacentral:rRNA from 1 species
GAACGCUGGCGGCGUGCCUAAUACAUGCAAGUCGAACCAAUCUCUUUUAGAGAUGCGUGGCGAACGGGUGAGUAAUACAUAGGUAACCUGCCCCUAUGCGGGGGAUAACAGGAGGAAACUCCUGCUAAUACCGCAUAGCCAUGAGCACCGCAUGGAGCUCAUGCCGAAUAUCCUUUAUGGGACAGCGCAGGGAUGGACCUAUGGCGCAUUAGCUUGUUGGCGGGGCAACGGCCCACCAAGGCAACGAUGCGUAGCCGGCCUGAGAGGGCGGACGGCCACAUUGGGACUGAGACACGGCCCAGACUCCUACGGGAGGCAGCAGUAGGGAAUUUUCGGCAAUGGGGGAAACCCUGACCGAGCAACGCCGCGUGAGCGAAGAAGGCCUUCGGGUCAUAAAGCUCUGUUGCAAAGGAAGAACGGCGCAUACAGGAAAUGGUAUGCGAGUGACGGUACUUUACCAGAAAGCCACGGCUAACUACGUGCCAGCAGCCGCGGUAAUACGUAGGUGGCGAGCGUUAUCCGGAAUCACUGGGCGUAAAGAGGGAGCAGGCGGCCGCAAGGGUCUGUGGUGAAAGAUCGAAGCUAAACUUCGGUAAGCCAUGGAAACCGGGCGGCUAGAGUGCGGAAGAGGAUCGUGGAAUUCCAUGUGUAGCGGUGAAAUGCGUAGAUAAAUGGAGGAACACCAGUGGCGAAGGCGACGGUCUGGGCCGCAACUGACGCUCAUUCCCGAAAGCGUGGGGAGCAAAUAGGAUUAGAUACCCUAGUAGUCCACGCCGUAAACGAUGGUCACUAAGUGUCGGGGGUCAAACCCCGGUGCUGCAGUCAACGCAAUAAGU